UACAUAAAUAAAAUAUUAAUGCUUGGGUUUCAAACACACAGCAGCUUUAAAAACAUUCAGAACAACUUAGCAACACCCUGGCAACCCUAGAAUUGUCACACUGAACAAAAUGUUUCAUACAUCCAAUUAAAAAAAAAAAUUAGGGUAAUGAUUCACAUCUAUAUUUUUUAAUAUAACAUUGGCUCAAAUAAAAAAAAAAAAUAGACGUGAAUCAUUACCCUAUUUUUUUUUUUUUUUUAAUGGAUGAAUGAACAUUUUGUUUCGGUGCAUGUCGAGUUUUGCAAACACCAUUUAAAUUUUCUUAUUAUUUGUAAUUGCAAAAUUAAAAUAUACAGUUAUAGUUAUAAAAAUAAGACCAUCAUAAUGAUAAUUAAAGACAAAAAAAAAAAAAAAUGUUAGAAAAAUUUGCAUCGCUAUUAUUUAGAGAUAUACAUGGGGGACUUUAUGUAUGAGAAAGAAACUGUUUUUGUCAUCUGGGGUGCAGAUGGGUGCAAUAAUAGAUGUGUAUUUAAAAAAGGCCUGUAACCACGAUGACUGCAGUACACCAAAUGCCUCAAACAGCUCAAAAAUAAAACUUUUAAUUGGCGGACACUGAGAACAUCCAGAAAAAAAAAAAAAAACAUUUAUCAGAACAUCCAGGUAAAACAUCGAUACAGUUUCAGACGUGCUCCCCAGGAGUCUGUGGUUGAUCAGCAGCCUUAAAUUGAAGAAAGGAAGUGUUUUCAGAGGGAGGAGUGAAGCUUAAUUGAACUGUUUCACCUUGUGAAGGGAGGUUGUGGAAAGUGGAUGGAAAGAUGGAAUACUUUAUGAAAACAGUUCCUCUGAUUCUUCUUACCCAGGUGGCUUUCUCUUCUAACUAAACAGUGGAGAACUGAGGCCAGAAAUGGAUUCUACACAAGCGCGCAGUGUAGACGUCAAUGCUUGGCCAAGGAAUUGCAAGCAUGCAGCCUUGUUUUACAUUCUUAAUGUGGGCUACAGUGGCGUUUCCUUCAAAUAUCUGUCGCAUUAACCUCUCGAGUAUUUGUCCUGCCAUCCACACGUGUGAUCAUACCCUUCAUUCGUUUUCUCCUCCUCACGGGUCUCUGGAGAGAGGUAAACAAGCAGGUUGAACUUUAGCAUGCAAAGCGCGGGCUCUCCCUGAUGUAUAUUCACCAUGCCAGUUUAACCAAUCAGUUCCAGCGGGCCCGAUAAGAGGAGCUGCAUCAGUGUGUCGAAUACGGUACAUCCUCAAAUUAAUUUGUUAUUCACUGAUAACCCCCCUUAGGCUUGUUUCUCCCUCAAAUCUACAGUGCAAUAUGAAAAUAUAAAUUAGUUCUGCACCACUGACAACACGCCUGUGCUUUUUCUUUUAGAGUGGUCGAGUCGAACAUCGCUACCUGCCUCCGAAGAUGCGAUACAAUAGACUUUUGUCCUCUGAUUGCUCUGUUAUGCAGUUGGGAACAAGUGGCAAGGUUGCAGUAACUAAUGCUCGCCGUAAACAUGGCGAGCACAUGCUUUGUCAGGCUCUAUAAAGUGGCAGUUCUGGGUUGAUUAAGAGUGCAUAUGGAGCGUAACUUCCAGGCCAGACCAUCUGCUGCGGGUUAGUGAGGUUUUUAAAGCUUUAUGGGUAUAAAACCUCCAUGUUUAUCUAGAGUACAAAUUUUUAUUGUUCAGACGCCGAGCUAUACUGAAGUUUUGAAUUACAUUUCAUUUAAGCAUCAACCUUGUGGAGUUUCUCCUGCAGUAGUUAUGAAGACAAAAAUAGUCACAAAUGAGUCAUUUGUUGUCAUAUAGAGUCAUAUGUGGUGCUCAGAUAAUUUGGCUUUUGGAGACUUGAACAAAGUUUGAGACAUUUUGAAGCUCUAGAGGAGACACACUUGAGAUCUCUAGGCUGUUUUACCAUUUGCUCUCCUUGUAUUCUCAUUGGUGCAGGAGAAAUAGCAGUAGAUCUCAUUUGUGAGUUUUCUGAUCUAAAGGACGAAGGAUGCAUGCAACCUUCUCUUGUAUUUUUAUUCAGUCCAAGAAACCAUAUGUUCAUCUCAGCAUCAUUAGUUUCUAGGCCAAGGAGGUCAAAGCAUCUGCAGAAAUGGUAUUAUAUUCCACAUAUUUGUAGCAAAGUAGAAGUAGCAAACCAUCCUUUUCACAUCCUUCCCACAAUUUGAGAAUGAGGGGAAUGCUUUUUAAUGUUAGCUUACUAUUUAAAUGGGGGCUAUGUAGUUACUGCAUACUGCAUAUACAUACAAUUAACUUGAACUAAAUUGACCACUAGAGGUGGUAAAAAAACCAACAACUUUUUAUUCGUUUUUACAGAAACUGUGAUUACGGGG
ensembl:lncRNA